CAGGAGUGCUGCAUGCACAAAAUGAAACCCAGAACUGUACUGAUUCCAGGCUGAGUGGAGGUUAUGUUGUCCCUGAACAAAAAACGUACCUUCAUGAAGCAACGCUCACUUACGCCUGUGAUAACGGACUUAAACCAGCAGUGGAGGGCUGGUGGGCGACAAGCAUAUGUCAAAAUGGCAAAUGGUCUCCUGAACCCCAAUGUAUUGAAGGAAAAGCCUGUGUGCCACUGACUGUCCCAAAUGGAAACUACGAUGCAAGCACAAAUGGUCGGUAUGGGGAGAGAGACAAAAUCUGGGUUAGAUGUGACGACGGAUAUGAACACAAAGACCAUGACGCCACAGCAGAGUGUAUAAAUGGAGCAUGGUCCUCUGUGCCAAUCUGUGAAAGGAGUACCGAAUCAUGUGGUGAUCCCCCUAAACAAAAACAUGCAGUCAUCAUUGGUAAGGGAUACCAGGAGGUGUUUGCUGCAAGCUCAAAACUGCAGUAUAAGUGUGAAGAUAGAUAUACUGCAGAGCGAGCAGACACCGAAACAAUCAUUUGCAUCUCAGGAAACUGGACUGAAGGCCCAACGUGCAGUAAG